CAGUAGCCACGGGAAUACGGAGGGUGCAAGCGUUAAUCGGAAUUACUGGGCGUAAAGCGCACGCAGGCGGUCUGACAAGUCAGAUGUGAAAUCCCCGGGCUUAACCUGGGAACUGCAUUUGAAACUGUCAGGCUGGAGUCUUGUAGAGGGGGGUAGAAUUCCAGGUGUAGCGGUGAAAUGCGUAGAGAUCUGGAGGAAUACCGGUGGCGAAGGCGGCCCCCUGGACAAAGACUGACGCUCAGGUGCGAAAGCGUGGGGAGCAAACAGGAUUAGAUACCCGGGUAGUCCCUGUCUCUUAUAU
rnacentral:rRNA from 1 species